GCUGGGUGUGGUGGUGCACACCUGUAAUCCCAGUGGCUCAGGAGGCUGAGACAGGAGGAUCAUAAGUUCAAAACCAGCCUUGUCUUU
rnacentral:sRNA from 1 species